AUUGAACGCUGGCGGCAGGCCUAACACAUGCAAGUCGCGCGAGCGGCGGACGGGUGAGGAAUGUAUGGGGACUGCCCGAUAGAGGGGGAUAACUACUGGAAACGGUAGCUAAUACCGCAUCCUAUCGGAUAACCCAUAUGGGAUUAGCUAGUAGGUCAGGUAAUGGCUCACCUAGGCGACGAUCCUCAGCUGGUCUGAGAGGAUGAUAAGCCACUCUGGGACGGAGACAGUGCCCAAGCUACAACGGAGGCAGCAGGGGGGAAUAUUGCACGAUUGGUGCAAGCCUACAGAAGGCAUGGUGCGUGUAUGUAGACGUCCCUAGGGUUGUAAAGUACGUAAAGUCGAGAGGCGUUCCAGACAGAAGGAGCACCGAAUAACUCCAUGCCAGCAGCCGCGGUAAUAC
rnacentral:rRNA from 1 species